rnacentral:tRNA from 1 species
GAGGGUAUCGCUCAGUGGUAGAGCACAUGCUUAGCAUGCACAAGGUCCUGGGUUCAAUCCCCAGCACCUCCA